GACGAACGCUGGCGGCGUGCCUAAUACAUGCAAGUCGAGCGGACGAUUCGAAAGCUUGCUUUUGAAUCGUUAGCGGCGGACGGGUGAGUAACACGUGGGCAACCUGCCCUGUAGACGGGGAUAACACCGAGAAAUCGGUGCUAAUACCGGAUAACACGAAAUGUCGCAUGACGUUUCGUUGAAAGGCGGCGCAAGCUGCCGCUACAGGAUGGGCCCGCGGCGCAUUAGCUAGUUGGUGAGGUAACGGCUCACCAAGGCGACGAUGCGUAGCCGACCUGAGAGGGUGAUUGGCCACACUGGGACUGAGACACGGCCCAGACUCCUACGGGAGGCAGCAGUAGGGAAUCUUCCGCAAUGGACGAAAGUCUGACGGAGCAACGCCGCGUGAGCGAAGAAGGCCUUCGGGUCGUAAAGCUCUGUUGUUAGGGAAGAACAAGUAACGUAGUAACUGACGUUACUAUGACGGUACCUAACGAGAAAGCCACGGCUAACUACGUG
rnacentral:rRNA from 1 species